AAGUCGUAACAAGGUUUCCGUAGGUGAACCUGCGGAAGGAUCAUUAACAAUAACACCUUGGCUGGGUGCGUGCGGCUGGCUUGCUCGCCCUUGGGUGUGGCUCGCUGUGCCGCCGCUCCGGCCAAGUACACACCUGUGAACCGUUCUGGCGCUUCCGCUGAAUCGCUUGGCUAGCUCGCUAGCCAGGUGUGCAGGCGGAGGUUGGCUACAGCCGCAAGGCUUGUGGCUAGUAUUAACCCUCACCUUUGGUGAAUUGCUAUUAAACAGUGUAGUGGUUUGGGCUCAAUGUGACUAAAUACAACUUUUAACAAUGGAUCUCUAGGCUCUU
rnacentral:misc_RNA from 1 species